GCAGACACAUGCCAGCCAAUCAGCAGCAGACCCUCCCUCCCAAACCCUCCCACCUCCUGGACAGCAUCCAUUUUACAUUCAUUGUGAAGCUGCAUUCUUAGUGAGCUGUCCAGGAGAUGGGAGGGUCUGGGAAGGAGGGUCUGCUGCUGAUUGGCUAGAAUGUGUCU
rnacentral:miRNA from 1 species